GACGAACGCUGGCGGCGUGCUUAACACAUGCAAGUCGAACGGAAAGGCCCUGCUUUUGUGGGGUGCUCGAGUGGCGAACGGGUGAGUAACACGUGAAUAACCUGCCCUUGACUUUGGGAUAACUUCAGGAAACUGGGGCUAAUACCGGAUAGGAGCUCCUGCUGCAUGGUGGGGGUUGGAAAGUUUCGGCGGUUGGGGAUGGACUCGCGGCUUAUCAGCUUGUUGGUGGGGUAGUGGCUUUCCAAGGCUUUGACGGGUAGCCGGCCUGAGAGGGUGACCGGCCACAUUGGGACUGAGAUACGGCCCAGACUCCUACGGGAGGCAGCAGUGGGGAAUAUUGCACAAUGGGCGGAAGCCUGAUGCAGCAACGCCGCGUGCGGGAUGACGGCCUUCGGGUUGUAAACCGCUUUCGCCUGUGACGAAGCGUGAGUGACGGUAAUGGGUAAAGAAGCACCGGCUAACUACGUG
rnacentral:rRNA from 1 species